rnacentral:tRNA from 1 species
AAAGGGAGACCUAAUUCCGGUAGGAGACGAAAAAAAAGUAGUCCCAACCAAGAAUCAAUCCCAAAAGGUCGGAACGAGGUAUGAGGCUUUCAAACUAGGUUCUGGGUUCAUAAAAGACCUGAAUCAGGAACAAGGGCUAUUAGCUCAGGUGGUUAGAGCGCACCCCUGAUAAGGGUGAGGUCCCUGGUUCGAGUCCAGGAUGGCCCACCUGCACAGGUGGCAAAAACAAGAGAAGCGAGGAAUCAGCACCUUAUCUUACUUAUAUAGUAAGAGAGAAUGCUGGCUCUGAGUAAAGAGUCCAGAGGAACCUUGAAAACUGCAUAGAGCUAGGUGAAAAAGCCAAAAAAGAAGACCGCAAG